rnacentral:pre_miRNA from 1 species
AACAUACUCCCUCCGUCUGAAAAAGCUUGUCCCUCAAAUGGAUGUAUCUAGCAUCAAGUUAGUGCUAGAUACAUCCAUUUGAGGGACAAGCUUGGGACAAGCUUUUUUGGAUGGAGGGAGUACCUU